rnacentral:rRNA from 1 species
AGAGUUUGAUCCUGGCUCAGGAUGAACGCUGGCGGCGUGCCUAACACAUGCAAGUCGAGCGAACCCAUUCGGGGGAGAGCGGCGGACGGGUGAGUAACGCGUGGGUAACCUACCCUGUACACACGGAUAACAUACCGAAAGGUUUACUAAUACGUGAUGACAUAUCAGACAGGCAUCUGUUUGAUAUCAAAGGUCAGCUGGUACAGGAUGGACCCGCGUCUGAUUAGCUAGUUGGUGAGAUAAAAGCUCACCAAGGCGACGAUCAGUAGCCGACCUGAGAGGGUGAUCGGCCACAUUGGAACUGAGACACGGUCCAAACUCCUACGGGAGGCAGCAGUGGGGAAUAUUGCACAAUGGGCGAAAGCCUGAUGCAGCAACGCCGCGUGAGUGAUGAAGGUUUUCGGAUCGUAAAACUCUGUCCUCAAGGAAGAUAAUGACGGUACUUGAGGAGGAAGCCCCGGCUAACUACGUGCCGGCAGCCGCGGUAAUACGUAGGGGGCUAGCGUUAUCCGGAUUUACUGGGCGUAAAGGGUGCGUAGGCGGUCUUUCAAGUCAGAAGUUAAAUUCUACGGCUCAACCGUAGCCAGCUUUUGAAACUGGAAGACUUGAGUGCAGGAGAGGAGAGUAGAAUUCCUAGUGUAGCGGUGAAAUGCGUAGAUAUUAGGAGGAAUACCAGUAGCGAAGGCGGCUCUCUGGACUGUAACUGACGCUGAGGCACGAAAGCGUGGGGAGCGAACAGGAUUAGAUACCCUGGUAGUCCACGCCGUAAACGAUGAGUACUAGGUGUCGGGGGUUACCCCCCUCGGUGCCGCAGCUAACGCAUUAAGUACUCCGCCUGGGGAGUACGCUCGCAAGAGUGAAACUCAAAGGAAUUGACGGGGACCCGCACAAGUAGCGGAGCAUGUGGUUUAAUUCGAAGCAACGCGAAGAACCUUACCUAAGCUUGACAUCCUGGUGACCUCUCCCUAAUCGGAGAUUUCCCUUCGGGGACACCAGUGACAGGUGGUGCAUGGUUGUCGUCAGCUCGUGUCGUGAGAUGUUGGGUUAAGUCCCGCAACGAGCGCAACCCUUGUCUUUAGUUGCCAGCAUUAAGUUGGGCACUCUAGAGAGACUGCCAGGGAUAACCUGGAGGAAGGUGGGGAUGACGUCAAAUCAUCAUGCCCCUUAUGCUUAGGGCUACACACGUGCUACAAUGGGUGGUACAGAGGGCUGCUAAACCGCAAGGUCAUGCCAAUCCCUUAAAGCCAUUCUCAGUUCGGAUUGUGGGCUGAAACUCGCCCACAUGAAGCUGGAGUUACUAGUAAUCGCAGAUCAGAAUGCUGCGGUGAAUGCGUUCCCGGGUCUUGUACACACCGCCCGUCACACCACGGAAGUUGGAAACACCCGAAGCCGAUUAUCUAACCCUCUGGGGGGAAGUCGUCGAAGGUGGCAUCAAUAACUGGGGUGAAGUCGUAACAAGGUAACCGU